GUAGGUGAACCUGCGGAAGGAUCACUAGUGAUUAAGUCGAGAGCGUCUUCAUUGACCUCUCACCCUUCACAUCCACAUACACCUGUGCACCGUUUGGCUCUUAUAAAAGACGAACGUCUGCAAUGAGAGUCAUCAAUUUUUUACAUACCCCAGUCUUAUGAAUGUAACAGUUUUAAUAAACAUAAUAAAACUUUUAACAACGGAUCUCUUGGUUCUC
rnacentral:misc_RNA from 1 species